ensembl:lncRNA
UUUUUUCUUUCUUUUUUUUUUUUUUGAAAAAUAACGACCUCUCUGAGGCGCGAAUUCCGACAGCGAGAGGAACGGCCGGAUACAGGAGACGGGAAGAAACAAGCCGAUUAUGUUCGCGUUAAUUAAGUGGUUGGAAGAUGUAAAAUUCUCAAUCCUGCCAACUGAACAUAUACGAGAUUUUAAUGAGGAUGAAUAAUUAGCCGGCAUGGAGGAAACGGACCUUUAUUUGGUGGAGUGGCGACAAGAAGCCAAAAGACGGGUGGCCGGUCUAUGAAGCCUCCAUCAUCAAGCUAGCAGAAAUCCCACCUGUCCUUCUGGCUACAGAGUACUUACUUACCAAAGUUAGAAACAAAGCACAGUUAUGCUUUAUUAAUGUUCGCUAAUUACAAUGUUCCACAUUUCCUUGCUUUUUAAGUCAUUUUUAGGCUUUUUAGAGUUGUUGUUUUUUGUUUUUUUAGCUGUAAUGUUUCUGCCUAUUUAUUUCAGCCCAUGAAAUCGAAUGCAGAUCUUCCUGAUGUGAGAUUUACAUAAAUAUGUCAAAGUCUCAACCUCAUGCUGCCCUCCCCCAUCCUCCUAAACCUGUGGAUACAAAUGCAGAUUUCCUUAAUGUUCAAUGGUGCGUGUUCUUCUAAUGGCCGCCUUCCCACUGGAGGUUUUGAUCCACAGCAAUUUAAAAGGAGGACAGAGCAAAACGGACAUCGGCACAGAGUGAAGAACUGCCCUUCACAAGGACACUAUGACAGCCAUAUAUAUGGCGGUAAGGAAGAGGUUUCCCAAUGUGUCCAGAAGGGCUUUGAGGAUUGCAGUGAAAGCUGGGGGAACUGAGACUGCUGGAAAAGGAAAAGAAAUUACAUUUUAAGUAUGUUGACUUAUGUUAAUACAAUCACACAGAAAAUAUACACACACACACACACACACAUAUAUAUAUAUAUAUGUGUGUGUGUGUGUGUGUGUGUGUGUGUGUUUCUUUUAGAAUGUUUAAGUAUGUAAUGAGAAUAAAAUUAUAAAAUUAAUAUUCUUUGCUUGAUUGAUAUGCUAUAUGUAUGUUUUAAACAUCAAAUAAAGAUUUCUUUCAGCUGUUACAU